GAUAAAAGAGAAGAAAAGCAACAUGCAAGGAAAUGCUUAGUUUUUAGAAGAAAAGUGUGAAGAUAACAAGUGAGUUUCAUGAGAGAUUUGCCCAUUUGGAAGAGAGAUAGAAGGAAAAUAGCCUUGUGAGACUUCCACCUGAGAUGAGAGAAAGAGUUGAGUGAAAAAGGCUUGGAGGAGGCUUGGUUUUGUGGAGGUUGGGAGAAAAACCGCAAAGUUUUCUCUUGCAUGCCAUGGUUGGAGCUUUAGGAAGGCAUGAGAGGUUCGGCCUAGUGAUUCCAAGCUAAGGAAGAUAAGUAGAACCUUGAUUUUGGUUAUGAUUUCUUAAGGAAAUGAGUUGGUAAUUGUGUGAGAAUGUUUAUGGUAGCAAAGAUCCUCCAAGAUUUGAAAGAAAUAGGUGCAUGCAUGUGGGUUAAAUUGGAAUGCAUGUUGAUUUUGGAGUUAGAUAAGCGAUGGCAAUGGUGACUGAGAAUGUAAGGAAUGGUGGAUUAUACGUGGAGCUCAAGCUAAAACCAAAAGCCAACAUCAUUGAGACUACCAUAGCUGUGGGAUCCGGUGGAGCAGAGGUUCUGGAUGUUAUUACGUGGAAGUAGAUCCAUGGGUGAUUAUGAUAUUUACCUUCUUGAGAGCCUUAUAGUGAUCAACCUAGCGUGCAUUCAUCGACAUUUGCAGUCCACCACGGAUAGGUAAAGGCAUCUAAUAGCACUUUAUUCAGAGUCACUCUGCUGCUAGAGGUCGAGUUGUCAUAGUAUAACUUGUUAUGAAAUCAGACAUUAGUUUCAAUAUAAAUGUACAUUUGGAGAUUAUAAGUCUUGAUGUAUUAUUUUUACAAUUAUGUGGAAUAAAAGUUUAG